GUUGCCAGCAUUUAUUGGGAAUUUGACUAAGUUGCAAUCCUUGUAUGUUGGUGCAAAUGCAUUAUCAGGGACCAUUCCAAAGGAGCUUGGAAAGCUUCAAAACCUCAGCAUGUUGGAUUUGUCUCAGAACAACUUGACUGGUCCAUUGCCAGCAUCUAUUGGGAAUUUGACUGAGUUGCAAUCCUUGUAUGUUGGUGCAAAUGCAUUAUCAGGGACCAUUCCAAAGGAGCUUGGAAAGCUUCAAAACCUCAGCAUGUUG